UCCAAGAGGUGAUGGUGAUCUAUGACAGCGCCCAGGAGAAGGUGAUCUGUGUCGACGCCCAGGGGAAGGUGAUCUACGUCGGCGCACUGGAGAAGGUGAUCUACGCCGACGCACUGGAGAAGGUGAUCUACGUCGUCGCACAGGAGAAGGUGAUCUACGUCGUCGCACAGGAGAAGGCGAUCUACGUCGUCGCACAGGAGAAGGCGAUCUACGUCGUCGCACAGGAGAAGGCGAUCUACGUCGUCGCACAGGAGAAGGCGAUCUAUGUCGUCGAACAGGAGAAG
rnacentral:lncRNA from 1 species